ACGUAGGGGGCAAGCGUUGUCCGGAUUUAUUGGGCGUAAAGAGCGUGUAGGCGGCCAGGUAGGUGGGUUGUGAAAACUGGAGGCUCAACCUUCAGACGUCGACCCAAACCCCCUGGCUAGAGUCCGGAAGAGGAGAGUGGAAUUCCUGGUGUAGCGGUGAAAUGCGCAGAUAUCAGGAAGAACACCCGUGGCGAAGGCGGCUCUCUGGGACGGUACUGACGCUGAGACGCGAAAGCGUGGGGAGCGAACAGGAUUAGAUACCCUGGUAGUCCACGCCGUAAACGAUGGGUGCUAGGUGUGGGGGGUGUCAACUCCCCCCGUGCCGAAGCUAACGCAUUAAGCACCCCGCCUGGGGAGUACGGCCGCAAGGCUA
rnacentral:rRNA from 1 species